rnacentral:misc_RNA from 1 species
AAGUCGUAACAAGGUCUCCGUUGGUGAACCAGCGGAGGGAUCAUUACAGAGUUAUCUAAACUCCCAAACCCAUGUGAACUUACCCAUGUUGCCUCGGCAGGGAACCUACCCGGUACUUACCCGGUAGCUACCCUGUAAUUGCUGGGUAGACCUGCCGAAGGACCUUUUAAACUCUUGUUUUAUUGUGACACUCUGAGUAACUAACAAUAAAUAAGUUAAAACUUUCAACAACGGAUCUCUUGGUUCUG